UUUGUGCUCAGAGCUACAUGUAUGUGCGUUGCCAGAAUGUCUUUCUAGUUUCAAGUUCAGCUGAAAACUGCCCCUCGACUUUUGCAGUCUCUGCUCAAGUUUUGUGAGGAAGAGGGUCUUGCAUGGAGAUGCAGGCUUUGAACAUGAGGUUGUAUUCUGGUUCUCACCCUUACUUCCAAGGCAGAGACCUGUUUUAAUUGCUUGGUAUUUCCAUGCUUGGUCAGCGUCAUAAAUUCUCAUAGUGAAGUGGGUCUUCGACUCUGUUAUCAAAUGGAUCUGCAAAUGUAGACCAGCAUUUUUAAGAAGCAGCACCUGGAGGUGAUCCCUGAGGUCUGUAUGUGCAGGCCGUCUUGAUAGACCUUGACCCUCCCUCCCGGAGCUGAGCGUGGCUGUGACCUGUCAUUGCUGCUCUGCAGUCCCCUGUGAAAGGCAGUACCAAAGGUAACUGCUGCUGCUGGAAGGAAGGACUACUGGAGGACCGACCUAUGCUGCUUCCUUUUCCUGAGUGAGAAUUGCCUGCUUCAGACAAUCCAGCUGGAGUCCAGCCUGAGAGACAGGCAUAUGAGCAAGUAUAUAGAAGAGGACUGUUGCUCCACACGCAGUCUCAAUACGAUGUAGAAAACAGCAGGUGGCUACGAUGAGCUGAGCACAAGGCCUGUCACUGGACUGGCUGAUUUGAUCCACCCACAACGACAGACCCAAAGCAACUCCGGAGCCCAUGCUGAGAUGCUUCAGUUCCCAUCCUUUCCUCUUGGCUCCUCCAGUGCCCGUGUUGUACCCAUGGUAACAAAUACCAGAAAUCACCCUGGCCAUGCCAAGGCAUUACAGCUGCAAGGACUUCCCUCAGGCGUGCUGUGUAGGUAAGCCAGGCCACCUGCACUUACAUUGAAGGGCCCUUUCAAAGUGGUGCCAAACAGUUUUCCAAUGCAGCUGCCCCACAGCCUGAUUCUGCUAGAAAUGCUCAUCUAUUAGUGAUGCCCUGCUGGAAGAAAAAAAGGAAAGCAGGGAGGCAGGGCAUGAGCUGAUGCUGCGGGCAGAGUGGCUGGGGCUGCCUCAUUAACGCCUCUGGCUUGAGCCGCUGCUGUUCUGCCUCCCUGUUGCUACGGCAGGUUUCUAUGGCAAAGGCCCACCAAGAAAGUGAGAAUUAAAGAGAGUUAAUGUUCCAAACAGAUGAGCCUCAUGUCGACAGCUGGCUUCUUCAGCGGAAAAAUGAGCUGCCAGAAAGGGAGACUGGCCAUCAAUACAUGAAACAUCCAAAAAUUAUUGCGUUACCAAGACCUACCGAUACCUAAGACUGAUACCCAAGGAGCACCUCCUUCAGCAGCCUAGAGUGGUCCCACAGCGUAACUGGUCUGUUUUCUGUGUGCUGCAGAAACCCAGAGGCACUUAUGUCUUGUCCUAGUGCUCUGAGGUACCAGUGGUACCAGCAGCAAUGCCUUUGGGCAUGCCAGCCUAGUACUUGCUGCAGGAGGCUGCUAACCAGGCCCUGGAUCUCCCACACCUUCACAGGACUGAAUAACUCGUACCCCUUCUCAAGAAAGAGUUUUAACCUUGUUUCAGAUUAAUGUGUUCUGGGAGGGACAGAGCUCCUGAGAAGGCAGUGGCAGGUUCCUGGGACCAGAUAACGGAGAACAAAAGGACACUUGGCUCUCCAGGUGGUGAGCAGGACGUUCGCCUGGGGUUCAGUCCUGCUCUGGAGGAGCCUGUGACCCAUAAGAGACUGGUCUCCUGUCCUCACACCUCAUUGCGAGGACUGCCUGGUGGUCGGCUGCAUUGUGGACGGGAUUACAUGAAAUGGCUGCCUGAGGAGUGGGCUCAGAGCAGGAGGGAGCCUCCAGUGCUACAGCCUUGGAAAACAUGGUGUGCCUCACUGGCAUCAGUAUGCUGACCCCCUCAGUCUGUUGUUACGCUGUCGGACAUCGGUGCACAUGGAAAAUGGGCAGGUCUGGGUGCAGCUUUCAAAGCCAGCUUUCUCGCAGCUGGACAGCCCUUGCAGGCAGGAGCCAGGCCCGUACGAAUCGGACUGCCAACUACAGCACCCACAGCGGGUGCAGCAUGGAUUCCUGAUGAAGGCGUGUGAAAUCUCAUAAAGUCUGCUUCUGCUAAUGGUCUUCACUUUGCUCCUUUAUUUAUAUAUAUCCACUGUUUCUGAGGCAGUCAGAAAAUGAAACUCCUGAGGUUAAAUAAGCGGCUGGUUUCAACUUGGCAGUUCUGCGCAGCUUUUCCAUCCUGCUCUGUGGUGCACGGGUCGUGGUUGGCCUUUAUGCAGCUGAUUAGAAGAAAAGUGGUUAGAGGAAAAGCCUGCAUUACGGCUGGCUGCUGCCUUCAGUUGGUGCGAUCAGAGAAGCUCUGGGGUUGUGGCCGUGCCUGCCCUCCAGCCACCCGGGGCCAGCAGUUGGAGGCAGAUGGGGGGAGCAGGAGGCCUCUGUGAGAAGUACCGCCAUGGCCGUGCCGUGGUCCUGCCCCACUACGCCGGGUGUCCCUGCCCCAGAGCGGCCAGGGACUGGUGGCACUGGCUGAGGAAGCUCACCCACCUAGGGGGGCUUCUCACGCAGGCGGUGAUGGUGGAUAUUUGGUUCAAAGCUUACCAGCCUGUAUGCGUGAAGCAAGCUGAGGACCAUGGCUAGACUUCUGUGUUUCCAGAGGGUGGGUUUCUGGAUUGCACUUUGGGGUUUAGAAGCUUGAUGUCCUCCAGGAUGUCACCCAAAAGGGUCUCACCGUAUGGUGGAUACAGCUCAGACCUCUCCUUGAGCUUCCUUGUGACUAUGGGGACAGAAAGGAGAUGUCACGCUCAUCUCAUGUUAUCUGAAAGUAAGCUUCCUGAGCCAAGAUAAGCCAAUCUUUGUGUAUAUAAAAUCAUUUUCUCAAAUUUACAGAGGACUUUCUUAAAAUUUGCAUCCCCCUCACUUCUCAUGCUCUCAGAUGCUCAGUUGUAGGCUUGGAAGGAACUUAACUUGCUUCCUAAGCAGGAAGAUCAUUGCUGGGAAGCACUUUUCAGCCUGUUGGUUUUAAGAGGUGCAAUAAGCUGUUGUAAUGGGUGUGCCGAUCCUACAAACUGUACCAUGGGAUGUGGACAGAUACUGCAUUUGUGAAAUAGGCUCUGAUUAUUCUGACGGUGUCUUUGCUCAGAGAUGCUUACCACAAAUAAGAGUUAUGAUUUUUUAAUAGGUAUUAUUCAUAAUUUAAAGAUGUAGCUUAAAGACAUUACAGACUGUUGCCUGAAUAGUGAUGUAUGAUCUGCAGAAGCUUACUCCGUAUUAAAUGAUAUUGUAAAAGUGA